rnacentral:lncRNA from 1 species
UCUAUGGAAGCCUUUUUUUUUUUUUCCCCCAACAGAAAUUAUUUCUCUGUAUGGGCUCCUGCUUCUGGCUGAGAGCAACAGCUGAACUCUGGACAAUAGUGAAUAUCUCCCAGGUAGAUGUGUAAUGUUGAAUGUGGAACUGGGGAGUUGGCUUUAGUCCUCACCUGUGGCAUGAGGAUUACUGUGAGAGUACACAAAGAGGGGAAGAGUACAUUUGGACCAAAACAAAUCUGAUACGGAGUCAUAAAGGUUUGGGAUAUUCAUUGGGUUUGAGGACACUUUAAAUGAUUAUACUUAUGAUAAGAGUGAUAUAGCUGGGGAGAGCUACCAUGGUUAUCAUCAUUUUCCUUUCUCCUGUAUGCUCAACAUUUUUUGUGUUUUUUUUUUUUUUUUUUUUUUUUUGUCUUAAAUACAUGCAUCUGAUAACUUGAAGUAAUUGUUAUUCAUAGUGUGAACCUCAAAAUUUCUGUCCAGUUUAACUCCAUCGGUGCUACCCAUCACACUCUCCAAAGAUAUCCAAUAUUUCUUUCCAUGAGAACACCUUGGAGCAGAAUAGAUUUAAGUAGUGUGUUGGUGGAGAAAAUUAGGUUGGGAUACCUGGUAUGGGGUUGCCAAAUGCUGUGAAUCACUA